CGUCGCUACUACCGAUUGAAUGGCUCAGUGAGGCCUUCGGACUGGCUCAGGGAGGUCGGCAACGACCACCCAGAGCCGGAAAGUUGGUCAAACUCGGUCAUUUAGAGGAAGUAAAAGUCGUAACAAGGUCUCCGUAGGUGAACCUGCGGAGGGAUCAUUA
rnacentral:rRNA from 1 species